rnacentral:rRNA from 1 species
GCGUAAGCAAUCUGCCCGUAAGACGAGGAUAACAGUUGGAAACGACAGCUAAGACUGGAUAGGAGAUAAGAAGGCAUCUUUUUAUUUUUAAAAGACCUAGCAAUAGGUAUGCUUAGGGAAGAGCUUGCGUCACAUUAGUUAGUUGGUGGGGUAAUGGCCUACCAAGACGAUGAUGUGUAGCCGGGCUGAGAGGUCGAACGGCCACAUUGGGACUGAGACACGGCCCAAACUCCUACGGGAGGCAGCAGUAAGGAAUUUUCGGCAAUGGAGGAAACUCUGACCGAGCAAUGCCGCGUGAACGAUGAAGUAUUUCGGUACGUAAAGUUCUUUUAUUAGGGAAGAAAAGAUGGUGGAAAAACCAUUAUGACGGUACCUAAUGAAUAAGCCCCGGCUAACUAUGUGCCAGCAGCCGCGGUAAUACAUAGGGGGCAAGCGUUAUCCGGAAUUAUUGGGCGUAAAGGGUGCGUAGGCGGUUAAAUAAGUUUAUGGUCUAAGUGCAACGCUCAACGUUGUGAUGCUAUAAAAACUGUUUAGCUAGAGUUGGAUAGAGGCAAGUGGAAUUCCGUGUGUAGUGGUAAAAUGCGUAAAUAUACGGAGGAACACCAGAAGCGAAGGCGGCUUGCUGGGUCUUAACUGACGCUGAGGCACGAAAGCGUGGGGAGCAAACAGGAUUAGAUACCCUGGUAGUCCACGCCCUAAACGAUGAGUACUAAACGUUGGAUAAAACCAGUGUUGAAGUUAACACAUUAAGUACUCCGCCUGAGUAGUACGUACGCAAGUAUGAAACUUAAAGGAAUUGACGGGACUCCGCACAAGCGGUGGAUCAUGUUGUUUAAUUCGAAGGUACCCGAAAAACCUCACCAGGUCUUGACAUGCUUUUGCAAAGCUGUAGAAAUACAGUGGAGGUUAUCAGAAGCACAGGUGGUGCAUGGUUGUCGUCAGCUCGUGUCGUGAGAUGUUGGGUUAAGUCCCCCAACGAGCGCAACCCUUGUUGUUAAUUGCCAUCAUUAAGUUGGGGACUUUAGCAAGACUGCCAAUGAUAAAUUGGAGGAAGGUGGGGACGACGUCAAAUCAUCAUGCCCCUUAUGACCUGGGCUACAAACGUGAUACAAUGGCUGUUACAAAGGGUAGCUAAAGCGUAAGCUUCUGGCGUAUCUCAAAAAAGCAGUCUCAGUUCGGAUUGAAGUCUGCAACUCGACUUCAUGAAGUUGGAAUCGCUAGUAAUCGCGAAUCAGCAUG